ACUUGAAUAUUAAUUAAAUUAUUAAUAAGAUUUAUUUAAAGUUAAUUUAAAUUAAAUAACUUAAAUUUUUAUUAAUUAUUAUGAAAAAAAAUUAUUAAUUAUAGUUUAUUUGUAUUGUUAAAGAUUUUUAAAAUAAUUUAUAUUAAGAAUUUAUUAAAGAAUAAUUAAUUUUUAGUACCUUGUGUAUCAGGGGUUAUUAAUUUUAUUUUAUUUUUAGAAUUUUUAGAAUUUAAAGGAGCUAAAUUGUUAUAUAUUUUAUUGUAGAAUUAAUAUUUAUAAUAAUAAUUUAGAAAUGAAAUGUUAUUCGUCUUUAAAUAUAUCUAAUUUUUUAAGAAAAAAAUUUAAUUUUUUUAUUAGAUUUAAUUAAUUUAUAUAUAUAUAAUUUAAUUAAUUUAAUUUAUUAUAAUUUAAGGGAUAAGCUUUAAAUUAAAUUUUUAUAAUAAAGUUAAUUUUUAUAAUUUGUAGAAUUAAAAAUUUUUAUUCAAUGGAAUUAUGUAAUAAUUUAUUUUAAAGUUAGUUAUGAUUUUAAUUUUAUUUAAUUUUUUUAUUAAAACUUAAUUUUGAAUUUUUAUUAAUUAGAGAUAAUGAUAAUAUUAGUAUUAAUAUUUGUAAUUUUAUUAUAAUUUUAAAUUAUAGAUAAGGAAUUCGGCAAAUAUAAUUUUUACCUGUUUAUUAAAAACAUGUCUUUUUGAUAAUAAUUUAAAGUCAGGCCUGCCCACUGAUUAAUUUUGAAGGGCCGCAGUAUUUUGACUGUGCAAAGGUAGCAUAAUCAUUAGUUUUUUAAUUGAAAGCUGGAAUGAAUGGUUUAAUAAAAAAUUAUCUGUCUCAUUUAUAUUAUUUAAUAAUUUUAUUUUUAAGUUAAAAAGCUUAAAUUUUAUUAAAAGACGAGAAGACCCUAUAGAGUUUAAUUUUUAUUUAAUUUUUAAUUUAAAGUAUUUUUUUUUAAAAAAGCAAAUAAAAAUUUAAUUGGGGUGAUUGAAAAAUUAAAUUAACUUUUUUUAUAUUAUAACAAAUUUUAUUGAUUAAUUGAUCCAUAAAAAUGAUUAAAAGAUUAAAUUACCUUAGGGAUAACAGCGUAAUUUUUUUGGAGAGUUCAAAUCGAUAAGAAAGAUUGCGACCUCGAUGUUGGAUUAAAAUUAAUUUAUGAUGUAGAAGUUAUAAAAUUAGGUCUGUUCGACCUUUAAAAUUUUACAUGAUCUGAGUUUAGACCGGUGUGAGCCAGGUCGGUUUCUAUCUUUAAUUAUUUAAAAUAAUUUAGUACGAAAGGACCAAUUAUUUAAUUAAUAAUUUAUAUUUUUGAAUAAUUUAUUAUUUUGGCAGAAUAGUGCGUUAGAUUUAGAAUCUAUUUAUGUAAUUUUUACAAAU
rnacentral:rRNA from 1 species